UAUAAAUAAUCCAUAUUUACGUGAUUAGAUCGAGAAUAAAAAUUUUAUUCGACAUUAAAAAUAGGCGUCAAAAAUAUUCGGAAUUUUAUUUUCAUUUUUACUAUAUAAGAUGUUUCCAUAGGGGAGCUGAGUUUUUUUUUAUAGUCUGAAGAUAGCCAUUAAAAAUAGGUGGGUAAACAUCAGGUAUCUAGUCUCAAUCAUCCCUAGGAUAUUUGAUGCACAACAAGGGAAAGUGAGGUAUAAUCGAGGGCUAAACAAAUCCUGCAAUUUUUUUAUGACUUUGAGGGACGCCCUUAGAACCUCAUAUUGAAGUGUUUACUUCAUGGCUUGGAUCUUUGAAAUUGAAAAUAAAAAAGUGCACCAUUGGAUGUUUUAUGAUCUCAAAAUCUAAAUAAUCUUUAAAGAUUUAUGAGAUUACCAAUAAAACAUGGAGCAAAUAUAAAUGACUUCAGUGAUCAAUGCCAAAUCCCUUUGGAAUUAGCAGAAAAUAUGAUGAAGUUGUCACUUGCUUCAAAAAAG